UACGUAGGGUGCGAGCGUUAAUCGGAAUUACUGGGCGUAAAGCGUGCGCAGGCGGUUUUGUAAGCCAGAUGUGAAAUCCCCGGGCUUAACCUGGGAAUGGCAUUUGGGACUGCAAGGCUUGAGUGCGGCAGAGGAGACUGGAAUUCCUGGUGUAACAGUGAAAUGCGUAGAUAUCAGGAGGAACACCGAUGGCGAAGGCAGGUCUCUGGGCUGACACUGACGCUCAUGCACGAAAGCGUGGGGAGCAAACAGG
rnacentral:rRNA from 1 species